AGAAUCAACGCUGGCGGCGUGCCUAACACAUGCAAGUCGAACGAGAAAGUGGAGCAAUCCAUGAGUAAAGUGGCGCACGGGUGAGUAACACGUGACUAACCUACCCUUGAGUGGGGGAUAACCUAGAGAAAUCUGGGCUAAUACCGCAUAAUACCUUCGGGUCAAAGGAGCAAUUCGCUUAAGGAGGGGGUCGCGGCCGAUUAGUUAGUUGGCGGGUAAUGGCCCACCAAGACUAUGAUCGG
rnacentral:rRNA from 1 species